CCUUAGUUCGGAUUGGAGUCUGAAACUCGACUCCAUGAAGCCGGAAUCGCUAGUAAAGGCGGAUCAUAACGCCGCCUUGAAUACGUUCUCGGGUCUUGUACUCACCGCCCGUCACGUCAAGAGAGUUGGUGGUGCCCGAAGGUCGUUGUAGGACGGCCGAAGGCAAAAUCAGCAAUAGGGACGAAGUCGUAACAAGGCAUCCGUAGCGGAAGCUGUGGAUGGAUCACCUCCUUUCUAGGGA
rnacentral:rRNA from 1 species